UUCAGUUCCCUGAGCGCGCGCUGAGCGUCUGAAGCGGUUCACUCAGAGUUGUCUGCACUGGAUUGAAAUCAAAUCUGCAAAGACUAUUGUUUGCUAGCGAUGAAGAUCUUUAUUAGAUGAACACCGCGUGUGCUCAGGCGCGCAGAUGGCACUAGGGACCCCCCAGAUUCAUAGUGACCCUCACUGUCUAUGGUAAAUAUCGGAGCAGCUUUCCAGCGGAGGAGAGAAACUCAAGGAGUGGGAAGGGCUCGAAUCGGACGCCGAGGUUGCUUUGUUUCUUUUUGAUAGUGACUCCUCAAACAGAAAGAGAAACAACAAGAACAAUAACAGGAAGUACUGCAGUUCAACUCAAUCAGCCAAACACUAGUUCAUUUGUGAUUAUCAUCACUGCGGAGGCUUUGCUUUUACUCCUGAUAGGACUUCCAUUGAUUAUAGUGGCUGUAUGGAAGAAAAAGAAGAAUAAAGGUCUGCUGUCGUCCUCCGUCGAAGAGUUUAAUUCAGUGAUUUAUGAACAGCUCAAAGACGCUGGACGUCAGUGUAAUCCAGAGGACAGAGACACAGAAACAACUGUAGUUUACAGCUGUGCUUCCUGAACUUGUGUCAUAUGUGACUCUACAGACCCGUCAGUGAGACUCGAGCAUCUCUCCAUCAACUCCACAACACAAACCAGUUCAAUUCAACUAAUAUAAUAUAACAUCAUAUAUCAUAUGAUACUAAAUAUGUACAGUUUGGUAUCAUGGUGCACGAUUUUGCAAGCACCACUAAUAUAAUGCAUUUAUGAGCAUGCUGAGGACCAAGAGAAAUAAUCUUCAUACUUCUCAUAAUUUUCAUGAUUUUACUGAAAAUCAGUCAUAAUUGAGUUCAUUUUGUUGGGUUUAUUCAAUCUUUUUCAUUAUGUUUAUGAUUGUUAUAACUGUUCCUUGUAUGUUUACAGAUGACAUGCACAAUUAUGGAACAUUUGAAUGUAUUAAUUUCUGAAGUUGAGUCUCAUGAGUUACUUGCAAUCUGCAGCUUAAUGGACAAAUUAAACAUGUUUCUCUGGAUUGCAGUGUAUUUUGAUGUUGUAUGUCUGUCCAUGCAUUAAUAUAUUAUUAUUAUUAUUUA